GCCGCAAUGCAUCAUGGGCAUCGUUCGUUCUCAUCACCAACAGACGCUCGUCCCGGAGACAAGACGAUGGUCAUAAAUCCCUCGCCGCUAUUACAGCGUGUCCUCGUUUGGAGUACGUCUCAAAGGAUGUUAUGCCGUGACCCCCUGAGGAUGAAUCUCGAGUGCGGAGGCUCUUCGGUGCAUCCUGAUGCUAACAAAAUCCCGCUUCACUCUUCCACUGGCUGUUGGCAUCCCCGCCCCCUCCCGGCAGGAAAAAUAAACUUGACCCCUGGCAUCCGGGCGCGACGUGACCUCUGAACCCCCACUUCCCCCUCCUCUCCGACGAGGCCUGGACGCAAUGAGUCUCCUCAUUCCAUCCAUCACGCUUCCUCCUCGAGGAAUUCCUCAAAUGUUCUCGGAGGCAAGCGGGCACACGCCGCAUGUUCAGGUCAGUGGGCCGCCCACCCCCCAACCGCUUUGCGGCCGAAUGCCGCACCUUUUUUCGUGUCGAUUCACAA